rnacentral:rRNA from 1 species
CCUACGGGUGGCUGCAGUGGGGAAUAUUGGACAAUGGGGGCAACCCUGAUCCAGCCAUGCCGCGUGUGUGAAGAAGGCCCUCGGGUUGUAAAGCACUUUCAGUGAGGAAGAACGCCUGGUGGUUAAUACCCAUCAGGAAAGACAUCACUCACAGAAGAAGCGCCGGCUAACUCCGUGCCAGCAGCCGCGGUAAUACGGAGGGUGCGAGCGUUAAUCGGAAUUACUGGGCGUAAAGCGCGCGUAGGUGGCUUGAUAAGCCGGUUGUGAAAGCCCCGGGCUCAACCUGGGAACGGCAUCCGGAACUGUCAAGCUAGAGUGCAGGAGAGGAAGGUAGAAUUCCCGGUGUAGCGGUGAAAUGCGUAGAGAUCGGGAGGAAUACCAGUGGCGAAGGCGGCCUUCUGGACUGACACUGACACUGAGGUGCGAAAGCGUGGGUAGCAAACAGGAUUAGAUACCCGAGUAGUC